rnacentral:rRNA from 1 species
UACGAAGGUCCCAAGCGUUAUCCGGAUUUAUUGGGUUUAAAGGGUGCGUAGGCGGGCUAUUAAGUCAGUGGUGAAAUCCUGUUGCCCAACAACAGAAUUGCCAUUGAUACUGAUGGUCUUGAGUACAUUUGAAGUGGGCGGAAUGUGUCAUGUAGCGGUGAAAUGCUUAGAUAUGACACAGAACACCGAUUGCGUAGGCAGCUCACUAAACUGUAACUGACGCUGAGGCACGAAAGCGUGGGGAGCAAACAGG